rnacentral:rRNA from 1 species
CGUGGACAACCUGCCGCAUGCAGGGGGAUACCGGCUGGAAACAACCGCUAAUACCGCAUAUGCGCACGGCGCCGCAUGGCGCAGUGCGGAAAGGGAGCGAUUCCGGCAUGCGAUGGGUCCGCGUCCGAUUAGCUUGUUGGCGGGGCAGCGGCCCACCAAGGCGACGAUCGGUAGCCGGCCUGAGAGGGCGGACGGCCACAUUGGGACUGAGACACGGCCCAGACUCCUACGGAAGGCAGCAG